GACUAAACUCAUGGCUGUUGGGCUCUAACUGUAAGUUACUAUUCGGAUCUGUGUGGAGUUUGUCUUAAUGUUUACUCUUCAUAUGACUGAAUCUGCUUGUGAUUUCACCUGUGAAAGACUCAAUAUAGAAUCAUACUUAGUGCUUGUUGACAUAUUAUCAACAGGGAAGUUACAUUGCCGGCUUCCAAAUAUGAACAAACAUAAAAGGCCUGAAAGCAACACGGCCAUUAUGCGGAUCCAUCUAGCCUAGCUUGGCGAGGACAUCGCCAAGAACGGUCUUGGUCUCUCCGUAGUACUUCUCGGCCUCGGUGGGGCUCUUGAUCUUGGCUGCAUGGUCAAGCUGCAAGAAAGAAAAACCUGUUAGUCCUGCGAUUCUUCUUCUUGUGAAAAUGUUCAGGUUUGAUGCAGCAAGGUAGCUGAAACUGCGAGAUGGUAGGUUUCUUACCCCGUCGAGGGUGGCGAAGAGCUUGCCGGUGAGGUCCUUGAGGUCCUUCUUUUCCUCCUUGGUGGUCUUGGAGGAGAUGACGGUCUUGAGGUCGUAGCGCAGGUAGGAGGCCCUCAGGCGGAGGUCGUUCAUGACGUACGGCCAUUGCUUCUUGUCGAUGAGCGGCUUGAGGUUGAGGAUGUCCUGGGCCGACUCCUUGGCCCGGACCGCCGCCUCCGCCGGUGGCAGCGGCUGCAGGUAGAACCGGUUCUUCAGGGGCAGGUCGAAGUCCCUUGCCUCGUCGGAGUUGUCCGUUCCGG
rnacentral:lncRNA from 1 species